rnacentral:lncRNA from 1 species
ACAAUAUAUAAAUUGGUUUAUAACUUUAGUCAAAAUCGUACAUUAAUAAUUAUUAAUUAUUAUCCACACAUUUCGUGGGGGUACACAAGUAUUCCUAUUUAAUCAAGUUAGAAUUCUAUAGACGUGACACAAGCAUGUGAAACACCAAGGCAUAUCUUGAUUCUCUUGAUAUAUCUCAAGGAAUAGAUACUCUCGAAUUCGAAACUAUCCUCUCUAAUAAAUCCAUCUCUACAAACAUACUGAAUUUAUAUUUAAUAAUAAUUUUAUAUUAUUUUAUUGCAGACUUCAUUUAUUCAUAUGCUACAUAAAUUGAAAUCUGCAUAAGUAUACAUCUUAGUGGGGAAUGCGUUUGAAAUUAGGUCUGCCUAGUGUUGGUGCUGGAUCAUAUCUCCCAUAGUCAAAGAAGCUCACUCCAUGACUUCUUUCAUCUACAUCACUCGUUUUCUCGUGCUCAAAUUGCUUCCCCGUUUCUUCCUAACAAAAGUUUCAAAAAUAUCGUUAAAUAUAUGCAUGGGCCUACACUAAGUUCGAAAUCUAAAAUUUUCAAAAUUUUACAUAAUAUUUUCAAAAAAAAUUUCAAUUUUGCCCCCACAACUCUUCUCUCCUGGCUCCGCUCUUGAAUAUAUGUAGCCAUUUGCGUGCAUAUAUUUUCCAACUCCGUGUUCAUCUAAUUAUUUAUAUCAUUUUGAAAAAAAAAAUCGUAACUUUAUCGAGAAUUUCGAUCAUAAAAUUACGAGAUGACAUCAAAAUAUAAGAUCAAUGGGGGUACCUCAUUAUUAGUUGGUUUCACUUCCUUCUCCAAGAUGUUCACUGACCUAGACAGUCCACCUGCACGAAAAUCUCGGAUGAUCAAAACUCCUUUUCCUUACAUUGUGUGUAUGUUUAUACACACACUAACAAACAAAAAUACAAGUAUAUGUAUACAUAAAUACGUAUAAGCAGAAGUAUGUAUACUUGCAAAAGAAGUGGAGAAAAGAGCAGCAGAAAUGAGGAGGAAGAGGAAGCUAAUCUUCUUGAGAACCAUGUUUCCAGCCAAUUUUAAUCUCUCUAUGUUACAAGAACAAUGCUUUUAAUUUAUAAAAAAAUGCUUAACUGCUUA